rnacentral:rRNA from 1 species
CCUACGGGAGGCAGCAGUGAGGAAUAUUGGUCAAUGGGCGUAAGCCUGAACCAGCCAAGUCGCGUGAGGGAUGAAGGUUCUAUGGAUCGUAAACCUCUUUUAUAAGGGAAUAAAGUGUGGGACGUGUCCUGUUUUGUAUGUACCUUAUGAAUAAGGAUCGGCUAACUCCGUGCCAGCAGCCGCGGUAAUACGGAGGAUCCGAGCGUUAUCCGGAUUUAUUGGGUUUAAAGGGUGCGUAGGCGGCCUGUUAAGUCAGCGGUGAAAGUCUGUGGCUCAACCAUAGAAUUGCCGUUGAAACUGGGAGGCUUGAGUAUGUUAGAGGCAGGCGGAAUGCGUGGUGUAGCGGUGAAAUGCUUAGAUAUCACGCAGAACCCCGAUUGCGAAGGCAGCCUGCCGAGCCAUGACUGACGCUGAUGCACGAAAGCGUGGGGAUCAAACAGGAUUAGAUACCCCGGUAGUC